GUCGUCGUGGCCGAGUGGUUAAGGCGACAGACAUUGAAAUCUGUUGGGCUCUGCCCGCACAGGUUCGAAUCCUGUCGGCGACG
rnacentral:tRNA from 1 species